rnacentral:lncRNA from 1 species
CUAUUUCUUUAUUUAUUUAUUAUUUGUUCACCAUAUUUCUUUGCACCAAAAGGAAAUGUGAUCGGCUGUUAUAUACUGAUUUCAAGUUUUCAACAGCAUAAACUUUUCGCUUUUCUGAGUUUUGGCAAUGAGGUGUGUUUCGAUAAGGGAUUAGCUUCUAUAUGUAUUCAGAUGAUGUAGAAAUCUUUUUUAUCAAUUAAUUAAACAUAAAAAAUUAUUAAUUCAUUUAUUGUACUACAUGAAUGGUAUAUAUUAAAACACUUAAAUCCAAAGGCCCACAACAAUCCCAUUAUCAAUGCAAUAAAAAUCCAAUGUAGUAUCAUAAAAAUCUUAUUAUUAAUUGUUUUCCAGAGAGAUCCAGCAAAAGAACAAGUGAAAAUUUCAGCUGCACGACGGCAUAUUAUUAACACAGAUCAUGAGAACGUUUUGGCUGAAGGAAUAACUCAAAUGAUAUGAGCGAGCUCGGAAAAAUAAGGAUUUUGCUGUGCUUUGGGAAUUUAAUAGUUGACCUUGAGGUAAACUUAAGUGAGAACUCCGGGAAUUAGCCUGAAAGCAAUGACUCAUGUAGUUCAUGACAAAGCAAGAAGACAACCAGGCAAUUUAUGGGAUCUUUUAAUAUGAUGGGCUUUAUCUCUACACAUGAUCAAUAGUCGUCUCAGGCUUAUUAAUGGAUAAAGUCAUUCACUUUGUGCAUAAAAACCUUAACUUUAUCACAAAAUCAUAAUCUAUAUAUCAAACUAAAAUUCCACACCUCCCAUUAACUUAAAAGAUUUAUAUUUUGAUCAACAAUGUUCUCUAUAAACACAAUGAGAUUAACAUUAUAAAUAUUGUAAAUCUCAAAUCAGAGACUUAUAUUUGGUCCAUCUUUAUAAUUUGCAAAUGAAAUUAGGAUGAUGGCCAAUGCCUCAUGGGAAGUCACAGAUUACUUUUUUUCGGUAACCUUCAUAAAACUUUCACCUCUUGAGUUACAGAAUUACCAUUACUUUUUUCCCUACAUGAAAUUUAGGCUCAAUAGAUUUAUUUCUCCCACUGCUUAAAUCUAUUUUGUUCAUGUUGAGUACUUGAUUUUGCAAGAACAAAUUAUUCAUCCACAUGAAACGCUAUACAUCGAGAUCAUGAUUCAUGCAAUCAAUUAGGGAAAAACAUAUGCAUUUCAUGCUAUGUAAUCACAAACUUAAAUUUUAAAUUUACCGAUGUUAAUUUACCAAUAUAUAUGAGCUUUUAAUAAUAACACUAGAAAAUAUAGACAAA